UGUUUGUUGAGUUAAUUAUUUUGCUUUUUUGAGAUCUUAAGAAUAAAGUAUCGGAGUUGUCGGAUAAUGCAUUAGUCAGUAAGCCCUGCAACCUGUCCUUCAAGGGAGCAGACGAUUUUCUUGAUCAUGCUAAGACUCAUUUUAAAGGGAACAAAAAUAGUGCCCCUUAUAAACCAUUAAUCAGAUUAUCAUCUUAGAGUCUGAGUUACUUAAAAGGAUGGUCAAAUUUAAGAGACUCGUGCUUUCCUAGCCUCCUGGAAUUCAAUCCAUAUUUAUAAAUUAAUGUUGAUGCUUCAACGUCCGGGUUAGGCAUUCAUUUUUGGAUGUGAGGUUCGAGCAUGGAGAAUGGUAUCUGGAGGAGAUAAAAUUACACAUCAAUAUAUAUAAAUGCAUAACUUUUUAUAUAAUUAAUCGCAAUACAAUUGUAUACCUGUGGAUAUUAAAUCAGAAGAGUUGAAGACACCUUUUCAGCAUCAUCAUCACAGAAUAAGGGAAUUUUGAUCUCUGUGGUUCCUUGAAGUAAUCCACUCGCUCUCAUUGUCUGACAAUAUACUUUCUGGAUCUUCACUCUCGGUACCAAGUUUUCCCAUGGAAUUUGAUAAGUGUUUGUACACGAAGAUCCUCUUACAGGCUACAUUAAAUGAAUUUUUCAAGAGAAAAUUAACCUUAAAUAUGCUCUUAUACAAGGAGCAUAUGAUACAUGUAACCGUAUAAUGUUUUAAGAUAAAGUCAAAUUACUAAUAGAUACAUUAAAUAGUCAUGAAUAUUAGUUAGUAAAAACUAAUGGAAGACACCAUUAAUAGAAAACCACAUAAGAAAUAAAUUAAGAUUGUUAAUUGUAGAUAUAUUGUUUCAAUCAUUUUAUAAUAUCAUUAGAGACUAAUUAGAUUUACAUCUUGUACAUAGUAGACGGAUUCUUCAUGAGAAGAUCCUCUAUGGUGCCGAUACAUGUGUGAAGGGAUUGUCUUACCAUAAAUGAAUUUAAAACUUAAGAGCAAAUUAAGCUGUACGACAUGGUUGAAGAUUUGACCCCUGUUUCACCGCUAACAGUUUGAAAAAAAAUAUUUAGGCUAGAAAAUAAACAUUGAGAUUUGUUUAAUAAGUUUUUUCUAGGGUAAUAAUGUCUGUAGAUUAUGAUUUUGUAAGUUUCAAUCCUGUAUUUUGUGUUGUUUAGCCAAGUUUUUGCGUGACAAAAUUUUUGAAAUCUCAAUUUUGUUCACCAAUAGAAUCUACAAUGUAUAUUUAAAAAACCCAUUAUUUAUUUCAAAUGAUAGACCAGGACCUUAAAAUAAAACUGUUUAUUCAGUUGAUUCUUCCAUAAAUUUUGUCUAAUGAAAAAAAUAUGUCUCGAGUGACAAACGGAAUAAAAAAUUCAUACUUUUAGAUAAAUUUCUCGCUUUAGGUAGCUAUUUAUACUGAUAAAGAAAGACUACAGACUUUAUUUACAUAUCAUUUUAUUGCAAAUUUGAUAAGCUUUAAAUUAAUACCUAAUUUAUACUAUUUCUUGUACAUGAACAUUUAAAAAAAUUAAAAUAUAACGCCUACUCCCUAAUUUUAUUGACGUGUGAAAAAAAUACAGUUGGAUAUUAAAAUGGAUGGUACAUAAAAACGUUUGAAGCUAGAUACUUGAAAACUUGAUCGUUUGUACCUAGAAUAGUAUAUUUUAGGCUGAUGUGUUUAUUUUUCUCUUACCAGCUGUAAUAUUUCCGAUUUUUUUAUGGAACCUUCAAAACCAGGCUACAGAAAGGGGGACGUUAUUGAAUUAGGGAAUUUAUUAAGUUUUUAGAGAUUAUCUCAGAUGAAGAAUAUAUAUUCCAUAAUAAAUUAAGUAUAUAAAUUAUGCUUAAAUCUUUAUUCCUUCUUCCCAACUUGUUUGCUGUAGACAUGGUUUAAGAUUCGACCUCGAUUUCACUGCCAAAAUUGGGAAAAUAUCAAGUAUCGAAUUCUUAUAAGUAAUACAUGUUUUAUAAACCAAAAUUUUAUGUAAAAUUCAAAUCUGAAGUCAAAAAUACAAAAUAUGAAAUGGUUUUUUAGGGAUACUCAUUUUUGAAAAGGUAUGUAUAAAUUAUGUGAGAUGAUGGGAGUCAUCCGAGAAAGGUGUGCAUAGAAAGCUCUGCAACUUGUCCUUCAUGGGAGCGGAUGAGCCUUUUGACCAUAUCAAGAGUAAUUUUAGAGAAGAACUCUGAUAGUCAACUGACCCCUACAAGCACUGUGUGGCUUUGCUUCCCACUGUUGGAUGACAACAAUUGCAACAUAAGCAAAGAUGGUCUCAAUGUUUCGGAGUAGUUUCAUUCUAAAAUUCACCAGGAGGUCCUUGAUGAGGAUGAAUUGAGCUUUUUUUUCUUUUUCGCAAGGCUUCAAAAUUCAAGGCUGCAUUUUUAAAUCCUUUGUGUAAUAAUUUGUUUGGGUCUCUCCGGAGGUGGAGUAAUUGAUGUAAAUUCAUGAGGUUAAAUCGGAAGUUGGGACAGCUCAAUCCUGGUGUGCAAAGGGAAUGCUCGUUUUUUUGGACGGAUAAGAGGGCAAGUGGACCCAGGACUACAGCUAUUCUUUAUCAAUGCACGAAUAUAUUCUAGUUUAUAACUAGAGUUGUUAUUUUCUUGAAGGUAGAAAUAAUAGCAAAAUACUGCCCCUGGCGAAUAAAAAAAAAUUUAAAUUCUUACCAAGACAUUUUCCCCUUGUUUAUUGAAAUUAUUAUUCGUGCUCGUUUCGCUGCUUGGUAUAAAACUUUAAUGUGGUUCGACACAUUUGCCAAUAGUGAUGUCAAUAAAAAAACAACAACUUUAUUCUACCUAAACUACUGAAAACUGUGAAGAACAUUCAAAACUUCCCCUAAAAUCAAAAAGAAGAUCUGACUUCAGGUAAAAUGGUAAAUUAGCUGUACGAAUCCAAUUUCUAUUAUGUUAAAUAAAAUCUUAUUAUUCUUGUGAAACAAAAUUAAUUUUUAUCAUUUUAUUAUGACUCUCAUAGGUCUAAAGAAUUCUAAAUUAAGUGUUAACUCUCAUUGGGAGUAAUUGUUAUAUUUAAUAACCUCAGGCUUUUUUUAUGAAUACUUACUCAUUAAGCUACGUAUGCAUUUAAAUAAUACUGAAGACAGUUACUAUUGUUCUUAUGCCGAUUGUUUUUACUGCUGAUGUAUUUUCAUCAUCCAUCUUUAUGUAUUUUUAUAAUUCGUUAUUAUUAUUACAAUUAUAUUUUUCUAAAACUUGGCAAUCGUCUUAGACACUAUUCUUAUGAUUAAAAGAAGUUAAUUCAAUAUUUUUUAUAC
rnacentral:lncRNA from 1 species